rnacentral:piRNA from 1 species
UUGUCAGUCAGGAUCAAUCAUGGAGGC